AGCGAACGCUGGCGGCAGGCUUAACACAUGCAAGUCGAACGGGCACUUCGGUGCUAGUGGCAGACGGGUGAGUAACGUGUGGGAACGUGCCUUUCGGUUCGGAAUAAUCCAGGGAAACUUGGACUAAUACCGGAUACGCCCUUCGGGGGAAAGAUUUAUCGCCGAAAGAUCGGCCCGCGUCUGAUUAGCUAGUUGGUGAGGUAGAGGCUCACCAAGGCGACGAUCAGUAGCUGGUCUGAGAGGAUGAUCAGCCACAUUGGGACUGAGACACGGCCCAAACUCCUACGGGAGGCAGCAGUGGGGAAUAUUGGACAAUGGGCGCAAGCCUGAUCCAGCCAUGCCGCGUGAGUGAUGAAGGCCUUAGGGUUGUAAAGCUCUUUUGUCCGGGAAGAUAAUGACUGUACCGGAAGAAUAAGCCCCGGCUAACUUCGUGCCAGCCGCCGCGGUAACAC
rnacentral:rRNA from 1 species